rnacentral:rRNA from 1 species
GACGAACCGUGCAAACGUUAUUCGGAAUCACUGGGCUUAAAGCGCGUGUAGGCGGGGCGGCACGUCGGUCGCUGAAAGCCCCCGGCUUAACCGGGGAACUGGCGCCGAUACGACCGUCCUGGAGGAACGUAGGGGGACCUGGAACUUCCGGUGGAGCGGUGAAAUGCGUUGAGAUCGGAAGGAACGCCCGUGGCGAAAGCGAGGUCCUGGACGUUUUCUGACGCUGAGACGCGAAAGCCAGGGUAGCGAACGGG